rnacentral:rRNA from 1 species
UGAUCUAGCUUGCUAGAUUGAUGGCGAGUGGCGAACGGGUGAGUAAUACAUCGGAACGUGCCCUGUAGUGGGGGAUAACUAGUCGAAAGAUUAGCUAAUACCGCAUACGACCUGAGGGUGAAAGUGGGGGACCGCAAGGCCUCAUGCUAUAGGAGCGGCCGAUGUCUGAUUAGCUAGUUGGUGAGGUAAAGGCUCACCAAGGCGACGAUCAGUAGCUGGUCUGAGAGGACGAUCAGCCACACUGGGACUGAGAC